UCAGCNAGGAAAGAAGACCCUGUUGAGCUUGACUCCAGUCUGGCAUUGUUCGGAGACAUGCCGAGGUGUAGCAUAAGUGGGAGUCGGGGAAUCAUGCGACGGUUGUAAAAAGCUGUCGUACCUCGACGCCGUUGAAAUACCACUACUCGCAUCGUUUCCUUACUUACUCGGUGAUGCGGAGCGCGUGUUGUUUGGUCCGUGGCUUUGGCNGGAGUUGUUCAAUCUGAUCUGAUGCGGACGUUCGUUCGUUUUCCGAUUAAAAUGAGGCCUUAUAACGGCGUUCGAUCCAAACUUCUAUGCGGGCGCCUUUCUGCGUUCGUCUUUCGAUGAGUGNUUUUGUACAAUCUCACGGAUUUACAAUUCGCUCCGGAAGAUGGAACUUUAAGCGCUUCACCCGUUUAGAAGUCGUUCGUUCGUUAAUGGGGGACAACCUCGUUUUAUGACGAUCUCGUUUGUCGUUCGUAUUUGUAUUAGUUCGACUUCGUGUCGGGCCCGCUGUGGCCGGCAAUCACGAUCGGUUCCCAGUCGCUUUAAGCGCAAACGCGUCGCCUGCUCGUUCUUCCAGUCACCGGUCGUCUUCGCGCUUUCAAACGUGCAGUCGAUCGCCUGGAAAACCNGGCGUCGUUGCGUGAUCCGAUCCGAGGACACCGCCAGGUGGGGAGUUUGUCUGGGGCGGAACAUCUGUCAAAGAAUAACGCAGGUGUCCUAAGNCCAGCUCAGCGAGGACGGAAACCUCGUGUAGAGCAAAAGGGCAAAAGCUGGCUUGAUCCCGGACGCCCAGUACGCGUAGGGACUGNGAAAGCAUCGGCCUCNCGAUCCUNUCGUNU
rnacentral:rRNA from 1 species